GUUUUUACACAAUUUCGGUUUUAUUUGUUUACUUCUUGUUCCAGGUCACUUUUGAUGGUGUAAGAUGAUAGUUCAGAUUUUUUAAAAUUUUUUACGUUCCUAAAAAUUCAAAUGUUGUGGACUUUUCAAUGAUUUAAAUUGUGCCGAAUAUUUCAACACUUUUUCCAUAUUUAAUUUGGAUAUUUUUUAAAUACUACUCAGGCUAGAGCUGUUUUAAUAUUGUGGAUAUUUGUUUAAGUAUUUAUCAAGUCAGAAUAUAUAAGGCAUUCCAGCCUAGCUCCAUUUUUUCGAGGGGUCAAUUUCGAAAUGAAAUCCGUUACGGUACGUAAAAUUGCCGUGACGUCACGGCCGCCAUCAUGGACCAGGGACCUUGAUCGGCUCCGCUGUCUCCUCGAUACAAAUGUAGAGGGACGAAAUAGGGAAGCAGGAAGACCACCACCACCACCACCAUCACCACCAGCAGUGUGGAAGAAAGUUUAGAGCAACGGCAACCCUCUGAUCCGGCAAGCAAGUUGGCGGCAGCGAUGGCGGUGGCGGCGGCAGUGGUGGUGAGGUGGACGGCAGGGACAGAGGGGCAGUACAGGCUGCGGACAUCAAGGAGAAGAGGAACGCACGGACAAGCAAGGUGUUAUUCGGCAGUCUGAUCCUGGACCUGCUAGGCUUGAAGGUGGUGCUGCCCGUGUCUUCUGCUCUCCUCGACUGUUACUCCAAGCACAACACCAGCGGCUUGUAUUCCUCUCAGCUCUCCUGUGUGACUUAUUCGCGGCCUCGGCUGUCUACGCACGCACUCUCACUGUGGCUAACAUAAUAUUCUUUGCUGUCUUCUUCCAGGAAUCGCUGCCUGAGGGCAGAAGGAGGAGGGACAUCGGUGCCAGUUUGACCGAGGCUUGGGAGGUGAUCAAUCCUAGGGCUCUGUUCUCCGUCAGCUGUGUCAAGGGCCUGGGCAGAGAAGGCACCGAGAGGCUCUGGAGAAGUUUGGAAGGGGACUAC